UUUCGCAAUGCCCGAAAGGGUGACGAAGCGACGCCGCGUGAGUGAGGAAGGCCUUCGGGUUGUAAAGCUCUGUCAGGAGUUAAGAAAUAUAAGUGUGUUAAUACCACAUUUAUUUGACGAAGGCUCCAAAGGAAGCCACGGCUAACUCUGUGCCAGCAGCCGCGGUAAUACAGAGGUGGCAAGCGUUGUUCGGAAUUAUUGGGCGUAAAGAGCACGUAGGUGGGUUUGUAAGUCAGAUGUGAAAGCCUUCUGUUCAACGGAAGAAUUGCAUCUGAAACUGCGAGUCUUGAGUGUAGGAGGGGAGAAUGGAACUUCUGGUGGAGCGGUGAAAUGCGUAGAUAUCAGAAGGAACGCCGGCGGCGAAAGCGAUUCUCUGGCCUAUUACUGACACUCAGUGUGCGAAAGCUAGGGGAGCAAACGGGAUUAGAUACCCCGGUAGUCCUAGCUGUAAACGAUGGGCACUAAGUAGAGGGGUUUU
rnacentral:rRNA from 1 species